AAAAGGCGGCGUAAGCUGUCGCUAAAGGAUGGACCCGCGGUGCAUUAGCUAGUUGGUAAGGUAACGGCUUACCAAGGCGACGAUGCAUAGCCGAGUUGAGAGACUGAUCGGCCACAUUGGGACUGAGACACGGCCCAAACUCCCACGGGAGGCAGCAGUAGGGAAUCUUCCACAAUGGGCGAAAGCCUGAUGGAGCAACGCCGCGUGAGUGAAGAAGGUUUUCGGAUCGUAAAGCUCUGUUGUUGGUGAAGAAGGAUAGAGGUAGUAACUGGCCCCUAUUUGACGGUAAUCAACCAGAAAGUCACGGCUAACUACGUGCCAGCAGCCGCGGUAAUACGUAGGUGGCAAGCGUUGUCCGGAUUUAUUGGGCGUAAAGCGAGCGCAGGCGGAAAGAUAAGUCUGAUGUGAAAGCCCCCGGCUUAACCGAGGAAUUGCAUCGGAAACUGUGUUUCUUGAGUGUAGAAGAGGAGAGUGGAACUCCAUGUGUAGCGGUGGAAUGCGUAGAUAUAUGGAAGAACACCAGUGGCGAAGGCGGCUCUCUGGUCUGUAACUGACGCUGAGGCUCGAAAGCAUGGGUAGCGAACAGGAUUAGAUACCCUGGUAGUCCAUGCCGUAAACGAUGAGUGCUAAGUGUUGGGAGGUUUCCGCCUCUCA
rnacentral:rRNA from 1 species